rnacentral:rRNA from 1 species
AUAUCAAUAAGCGGAGGAAAAGAAACCAACAGGGAUUGCUCUAGUAACGGCGAGUGAAGCAGCAAUAGCUCAAAUUUGAAAUCUGGCGUCUUCGACGUCCGAGUUGUAAUUUGUAGAGGAUGCUUCUGAGUAACCACCGACCUAAGUUCCUUGGAACAGGACGUCAUAGAGGGUGAGAAUCCCGUAUGCGGUCGGAAAGGUGCUCUAUACGUAGCUCCUUCGACGAGUCGAGUUGUUUGGGAAUGCAGCUCUAAAUGGGAGGUAAAUUUCUUCUAAAGCUAAAUAUUGGCCAGAGACCGAUAGCGCACAAGUAGAGUGAUCGAAAGAUGAAAAGCACUUUGGAAAGAGAGUUAAAAAGCACGUGAAAUUGUUAAAAGGGAAGGGAUUGCAACCAGACUUGCUCGCGGUGUUCCGCCGGUCUUCUGACCGGUCUACUCGCCGCGUUGCAGGCCAGCAUCGUCUGGUGCCGCUGGAUAAGACUUGAGGAAUGUAGCUCCCUCGGGAGUGUUAUAGCCUCUUGUGAUGCAGCGAGCGCCGGGCGAGGUCCGCGCUUCGGCUAGGAUGCUGGCGUAAUGGUCGUAAUCCGCCCGUCUUGAAACACGGACCAAGGAGUCUAACAUCUAUGCGAGUGUUCGGGUGUCAAACCCCUACGCGUAAUGAAAGUGAACGGAGGUGAGAACCGCAAGGUGCAUCAUCGACCGAUCCUGAUGUCUUCGGAUGGAUUUGAGUAAGAGCAUAGCUGUUGGGACCCGAAAGAUGGUGAACUAUGCCUGAAUAGGGUGAAGCCAGAGGAAACUCUGGUGGAGGCUCGCAGCGGUUCUGACGUGCAAAUCGAUCGUCAAAUUUGGGUAUAGGGGCGAAAGACUAAUCGAACCAUCUAGUAGCUGGUUCCUGCC